CGUGAGUGAAGAAGGGUUUCGGCUCGUAAAGCUCUGUUGUUGGAGAAGAAGGACAGGGGUAGUAACUGACCUUUGUUUGACGGUAAUCAAUUAGAAAGUCACGGCUAACUACGUGCCAGCAGCCGCGGUAAU
rnacentral:rRNA from 1 species